rnacentral:rRNA from 1 species
UGGGGAAUAUUGGACAAUGGGCGCAAGCCUGAUCCAGCCAUGCCGCGUGAGUGAUGAAGGCCCUAGGGUUGUAAAGCUCUUUCGUCAGGGACGAUAAUGACGGUACCUGGAUAAGAAGCCCCGGCUAACUUCGUGCCAGCAGCCGCGGUAAUACGAAGGGGGCUAGCGUUGUUCGGAAUCACUGGGCGUAAAGCGCACGUAGGCGGAUCUUUAAGUCAGGGGUGAAAUCCCGAGGCUCAACCUCGGAACUGCCCUUGAUACUGGAGGUCUCGAGUCCGGGAGAGGUGAGUGGAACUGCGAGUGUAGAGGUGAAAUUCGUAGAUAUUCGCAAGAACACCAGUGGCGAAGGCGGCUCACUGGCCCGGUACUGACGCUGAGGUGCGAAAAGCGUGGGGAGCAAAACAGGAUUAGAUACCCUGGUAGUCCACGCCGUAAAACUAUGGAUGCUAGCCGUUGGGCAGCUUGCUGUUCAGUGGCGCAGCUAACGCUUUAAGCAUCCCGCCUGGGGAGUACGGUCGCAAGAUUAAAAACUC